UUGUUGGUGAGGUAAUGGCUCACCAAGGCGACGACGGGUAGCCGGCCUGAGAGGGCGACCGGCCACACUGGAACUGAGACACGGUCCAGACUCCUACGGGAGGCAGCAGUGGGGAAUAUUGCACAAUGGGCGCAAGCCUGAUGCAGCAACGCCGCGUGGGGGAUGAAGGCCUUCGGGUUGUAAACCCCUUUUAGUAGGGAAGAAGCGAAAGUGACGGUACCUACAGAAAAAGCGCCGGCUAACUACGUGCCAGCAGCCGCGGUAAUACGUAGGGCGCAAGCGUUGUCCGGAAUUAUUGGGCGUAAAGAGCUCGUAGGCGGUUUGUCGCGUCUGCUGUGAAAGCCCGAGGCUCAACCUCGGGUCUGCAGUGGGUACGGGCUAACUAGAGUGUGGUAGGGGAGACGGGAAUUCCUGGUGUAGCGGUGGAAUGCGCAGAUAUCAGGAGGAACACCAAUGGCGAAGGCAGGUCUCUGGGCCACAACUGACGCUGAGGAGCGAAAGCGUGGGGAGCGAACAGAAUUAGAUACCCUGGUAGUCCACGCCGUAAACGGUGGGCACUAGAUGUGGGGCUCUUUCCAUGAGUUCCGCGUCGCAGCUAACGCAUUAAGUGCCCCGCCUGGGGAGUACGGCCGCAAGGCUAAACUCAAAGGAAUUGACGGGGGCCCGCACAAGCGGCGGAGCAUGCGGAUUAAUUCGAUGCAACGCGAAGAACCUUACCAAGGCUUGACAUAUACGGUCUAUCCCUAGAGAUAGGGAGUGCUUCGGCGCCGUAUACAGUGGUGGCAUGGUUGUCGUCAGCUCGU
rnacentral:rRNA from 1 species